UACGUAGGGUGCAAGCGUUGUCCGGAAUUAUUGGGCGUAAAGAGCUCGUAGGCGGUCUGUUACGUCGGCUGUGAAAACCUGGGGCUCAACCCCGGGCCUGCAACCGAUACGGGCAGACUGGAGUACUGCAGGGGAGACUGGAAUUCCUGGUGUAGAGGUGAAAUUCGUAGAUAUCAGGUGGAACACCAGUGGCGAAGGCGACUUCCUGGCCUGUUCUUGACGCUGAGGCGCGAAAGCUAGGGGAGCAAACGGG
rnacentral:rRNA from 1 species